CGAUACCAACGAAAUCGAGGAGUCCGCUGCAGAAAAGUUACGGUUUUCACCCGCCCACUGCUCGCUCGCUCCGCUGCUCCUCUCGUCCGCCCCCCUCCACCGCCUCUCUCUGCCACCUUCUCUCUCUCUCCAAAAUAAUCAAGUUGCUCCGAUCUAAUCCGUCCAAUCGUACGAGGUAAAGAGGAGAUAAGAUGGCUAAUAGAAGUGCAGGAUCCCCGGGACACGUCGGUAGUAGCCAACAACAGCAGCAGUACCGCUCAAUGACCCCAGCCGAGUUUGAGAUCUACCAUAAACAGGUCUAGGAGACGGGGGGUUUUGAUGUCGUUCUCCCCCCCGGUGUGGGUAAUUGCGGUUUAAUUUACCCAUGCCCGAACUUUGAAAGGAAUCCCCGUGUGUUUGAGGAGGUCAAUCGUUGUGCAAGCAAGGCAAUUGACGUCUAUAACAAGGAACAUAAUACAGAAUACCGGUUUCUGAAGGUCACCAAGUUAAACUUUAUGUCAGUUUCUGGUUUUAAUCAUUACAUUACCUUUGAGGCCAAUGCUAAUGCUGCUGCUCCUAUACACUUCCAAGCUCUUGUUUAUGCUGGAAUCCCUAAGGAUAAGAUAGAGGUUAUCUCUUGCCGUCCUAAACCAAACUCACCGCAGAUAACCUCUGAAUGCUCUCUUUGAUACGCGGCAAGAAAGAGCGAGAAAGUCUUGGUUUUUCUACGUCAGAGAUUCACUGGUAUGACUACCUUCUCACUUUUACCCUUUCGACCUUUGCUCGAAUAUGAUGUAUAUAAGAAAAAACCUCUAAACUUUUACCUGAUAAUGCAUUGUGAUUGUUUUUUCUUUUGGGAUGUAAUUGAGUUUUUUUCUUUUGGUUUAACCCUGAAUUGACUUUGUAUUUCACUUGAGAUUCGUAUUGAGAUUGACUUUUCGUUUGAUUGGAAAUCCUUGCAUGUCAA